CAAUAGCGUAUAUUAAAGUUGUUGCGGUUAAAAAGCUCGUAGUUGGAUCUCGGCAGGCAGGGGGUGGUUCGCUCUUAGCGCUACUGCCCCAUUUGCCUGUGUGAUUGGCGGAGGUUUCGGGGUGCUCUUCGUUGAGUGACCCGGGGCGCCGUCAGGUUUACUUUGAAAAAAUUAGAGUGCUCAAAGCAGGCUUUUCACGCUUGAAUAUCCGUGCAUGGAAUAAUGGAAUAGGAACUCGUUUCUAUUUUGUUGGUUUUCGGAAAUCGAGUUAAUGAUUAAUAGGGACAAUUGGGGGCAUUAGUAUUCAGACGACAGAGGUGAAAUUCUUGGACCGUCUGAAGACUAACUACUGCGAAAGCAUUUGCCAAGAGUGUUUUCAUUAA
rnacentral:rRNA from 1 species